CUGCAGCCAAUUAAGCCGACCGUGCUCCUUUCCUCGUAGGGGCCCGGUGUGCAAUGGCUGCAAACAGCAGCCUCCUUGGUAGUGUAUGCAACCUGUUGCUUGUAUAGGUUGCUCUAAGGGACCUUGGAUACAGUC
ensembl:snoRNA SNORA70 Small nucleolar RNA SNORA70